rnacentral:tRNA from 2 species
GGGCCUGUAGCUCAAUGGUAGAGCCGCGGACUUUUAAUCCGUAGGUUGUGGGUUCGAGUCCCACCGGGCCUACCG